rnacentral:lncRNA from 1 species
ACUGUAUUUGUUAUUUUUGUAUAUGCAUAACCAGGGUGGUGAGAUCACUAAUAUUUUAGGAAAUACCUUUGUUAUAUUUGAUUUUUUUCUAUACAUUUAAGUUAUUACUUAAAAUUAUUGGUAGAAAUAAUGUUGUGAAGACAGCAUAUAAGGAAUACUUAACGUCAGAAUAGAAAUCAUUUCUGAAGAUAGAAAUCAGAAAUGCUGCAGGUGCCAGGUAAUGGGAGCAGCAGGGCAGCAUUCUCACUGUGCAACUGCUUAAGACAUGCACGGAGACAAGAGUCCGCAGUCACGGGGGACAGGUUCUCUAGUAAGAUAGUUAGAUGGGCAAAAAUAUCUAAAAUAUGAAAUGCAACGUAGGCGCCAUAUUGUAAGUUGUGCCAAGAUUAUGCAAAUUAGUUAUUGAUCAAAGUUGUUUCACUGUUGUUAUUUUAAAGGAAACACUGAAUGUCAGAAAAUCUGUAAUAUGUUUUAUUUGAUAGAUGUAAAUAAUGUAUACAGUCUUAUGUGGCAGAAUGGGAGGUAUUUACAUUUUAGGUUUUUUUUCUUUAGAAGAAAAUGUUUAUAAGGAAAAAAACCCUAAUAAAUACUUUUGUUUGGCCAUGAAUCCUGCCUUCGCAUUAGUUUAUUUUUACUGUAGGUAGUUUUACAAUGAAAACAUUUCAAAGAAAAGUAAAGGUAUUUAGAACAAAUUGAUCAUUUCAAAAUUUGUUAGGCAGCACUUUCAGUAAUUCUUACAACACUGGUAGUUACCAUCUAUGUACCACACAUACUAAAAUUCAGAAAUUGUAGAAGUCAUUGGCUCUCAGACUUGAAGGUUCUUAUAUGCCUGCAGUUAAAACUAAUGUUUUCUUUAGUGUGUACUAUUGCAGUGAGAGAAAAAAAAAAUGACAGCAAAAUAAUGUAAUAUUUAUGGACCUUUCAACUGAACUAAGAAAUGAUCCAUUUUAUCUUUAUUAUAAAUCAUUAAAUAAUAUUAGUAACAUUAGAAUAAUAUACCCUAAGAUCUGAAGUUAUAAAAGGAAAUGUAUAUUCCAGAGUAUUAUUAAAGUAUUAUUUGGAGAAUUUUAUGUUACAGGAAUUGUGCUUAGAUCUUAAGGUUGAAAUAUUUUGAAUAGUGGCUAUUGUCAAUCAUAAUGGACCACUGCCACACUACUCAGGAAGACAUUUAUGUGUGUGCAGGUCCACUUGUGUUAAUAGACACAGAAGGGGGGCUGGAGAGAUGGCUCAGUGGGUAAGAACACUAACUGCUCUUCAGAAGGUCCUGAGUUCAAAUCCCAGUAGCCACAUGGUGGCCACAACCAUCUGUAAUGAGAUCUGACGCCCUCUUCUGGUGUGUCUGAAGACAGCUACAGUAUACUCACAUUUAAAAAAAAAAAAAAAAAGACACAGAAGCCAGGAGCCAAGCUGGAGCCCGACAUGCGUGGGAGUGUGCGCACGUGCACACACACUCACACAGAGUUUUAUGUGUAUAUGUGUGUGCCUGAGUGUACAUAUAUGCACUGUGUGCAUGCAGGAGCCUGUGGAGGUCAGAAGUGGCAUUGGUCCUCUUGGAACUGGAGUUACAGGUGAUUGUGAGCUGUUAUAUGGAAGCUGGCAAUUGAUCCUGGGUCCUCUACAAGGGCAGUCAGUGCUCUUAAUCCCUGAGCCAUCACUCCAGUGUCUUAAUUGAAAGUAUAUUUUUUCAUAUAAUAUAUUCUGAUUAUGGAUUCCCUUCCCCAACUCCUUCCAGAUCCUGUCUUUCCGCCCUACCCAUAUCCAGAGUCUUACUAUCAUCAGCAUACAAGCAACAUCUGCAAAUAGUAAUGAAAUAAGAGAAAAUUAAAAACAAUCAGAGUAGGCUGAAGCCAACAAACUACUAGGAGAAAACCAAAGAAAAGGCACAAGAAACACAGACAGACAGAGACAUACAUUAGCACACAGAGAAAUUCCGUAAAAACGACACUGGAAGUAGUAAGAUAAAUAAGAAGGACCAGUAAGGGGGAAAAUGUAUAAUGACAAAACUAAUACCCAGACAAAACAUUAAGUUCUGGAGCCAGGGAUCUCUAGAACUGCCACUGAGUUGGUUUUGUGUUGGCCAUCUAUGCUGCUGGGCAUGGCAUCUCUCCUUAAGAGUGGUUUGUAUUCCCAGUGAGAGUAUGUUAGGGAAAACUAAUUUUUUCAUUUACAAGCAGUUUUCAAUUGGAAUAACUUCUGGGCUAGGGUCAGAGCCAUGUGUCCACUUUUUCAGCUCUAGGACCCCAACUGGCUUAGCUUUAUGCAGGGAACAUGCAUGCUGCCUCACUGUGAAUUCAUGUGUGUGUUGGUCAUGGUGGGUUUAGAAGGCCUUGUGUCCUUGGUGUCCUCCAUUGCCUCUGACUCCUAGACUUUCCCCAUCGUUUUCCAUAAGGUUCCCAGAGCCCUGAGGAGAGGGCUUUGGUGGAGACAUCCCAUUUAAAGCAGAGUAUGCCAAGGUCUCCCUCUCUGCACUUUAUGCCUUUGUGGGUUUGGUUCUGCAGAAAGAAGCAUCUCUGAUGCUGGCUACAAGAGAUACUGACCUAUAGGAUAUCACUAGGUAUCAUUUUAUUGUUCAGUUAUUGUAGCAGAACAGUAUUUGGAUUGCCACCUGAGCAGUGUCAGAUAUGUGUUACAUCUCAUGGAGUGGGCCUUAAAUCCAGCCAGUCCAACAACUCACUUUAAUACCUGCUCCUUUUUUUGUAGAAGUCGUCAUUUCUCCGCUGCUAGGUCCAUUUUUAGGACAUAUUUUAGGUCAAAUGAUAGUUACACGCU